AGGAUAUGAGGUUCUUGUUUUGAUUUCUAAUCGAAAGCUAAAAUGGUUAAACUCCAUUUAUAUUCUU
rnacentral:tRNA from 1 species